GCGCGAGUGGCGUAAUCGGGAGCCGCAUGGGACCUAGAAUCCAGGGCUGGAAGACCUGCGGGUUCAAGUCCCGCCUCGCCCACCG
rnacentral:tRNA from 1 species